rnacentral:rRNA from 1 species
AGAGAAUAGAUACCCAGGUAGUCCACGCCGUAAACGAUGGAUGCUAGCCGUUGGCAGGCUUGCCUGUCAGUGGCGCAGCUAACGCAUUAAGCAUCCCGCCUGGGGAGUACGGUCGCAAGAUUAAAACUCAAAGGAAUUGACGGGGGUCCCGCACAAGCGGUGGAGCAUGUGGUUCAAUUCGAAGCAACGCGCGGAACCUUACCAACCUUUGACAUGUCCCGUAUGAGCACCAGAGAUGGAGUUCUUCAGUUCGGCUGGCGGGACACAGGUGCUGCAUGGCUGUCGUCAGCUCGUGUCGUGAGAUGUUGGUUAAGUCCCGCAACGUAGCGCAACCCGUGCCCUAGUUGCCAUCAUUCAGUUGGCACUCUAAGGGGACUGCCGGUGAUAAGCCGCG